UAUACAAAGGUAUUGAAAUAAGAUUUUAAAUGAGUGCUAAGAGRAUGAUUGAACAAUUAUAGGCUUUCUUUAGUUAAAUAAUUAAAUUUAAUUUUUUUASUGCAAAAGCAAAAAUUAAAYUUAGGGACAAGAAGACCCUAUGAAUUUUAAUUUAAUUUAUAAUUUGAAAUUUUAWAUUAAAUUYGAUUGGGGCGAUGGAAAMAGAAUGAGUAUCUUUUUUAGUUYUAAAAAUUGGUUCCGUUUWWAACGAUUAAAUGAGAAAAAUACUCUAGGGAUAACAGCCGUAAUAA
rnacentral:rRNA from 1 species